CGAUUCCGGAGAGGGAGCCUGAGAAACGGCUACCACAUCUAAGGAAGGCAGCAGGCGCGCAAAUUACCCAAUCCUAAUACAGGGAGGUAGUGACAAGAAAUAACAAUACAGGACUUUACGGUUUUGUAAUUGGAAUGAGUUAAGUAUAAACCCCUUUACAAGUAUCAAUUGGAGGGCAAGUCUGGUGCCAGCAGCCGCGGUAAUUCCAGCUCCAAUAGCGUAUAUUAAAGUUGUUGCAGUUAAAAAGCUUGUAGUUGGAUUUCUGUUAAUACCUUAUAUAUAAUAUUUUUUUUUAAAUAUUAUUAUGUAAGAUUAACAUAAUUCAUAUUUUUUAAGACUGAAUUUUUAGUUUUGAUAAUAUGAAAUUUUACUUUGAGAAAAUUAGAGUGCUUAAAGCAGGCUUUUGCCUUGAAUACUCCAGCAUGGAAUAAUA
rnacentral:rRNA from 1 species